rnacentral:rRNA from 1 species
GUCUACAGCCAUACCACCCUAAAUAUGCCCAAUCUCAUCUGAUUUUGGAAUCUAAGCAGGGUUGGGCCUGGUUAUUAUUAGUU